AGGAUGGGAUACUCUAUUAGACCUGCGUAAAGCUGAAACUUGUGUAUUAGAUACCUGAACAGACUCGAGCUGUAGAGUGGUGCUUGAGCUUGGUUCUCCAACCUCGCUCAACUCUAUCAUUCUCCCACUAUCUCCGCUAAGAAUGUGUUCCUUCUCAAGGAAUACUACCCUCUUAGCUACAAAGACCUUUUGGUCCUCGAGAUGAUAGAAA
rnacentral:lncRNA from 1 species